UACUCGAGUGGCGAACGGGUGAGUAACACGUGGGUGAUCUGCCCUGCACUUCGGGAUAAGCCUGGGAAACUGGGUCUAAUACCGGAUAGGAGCCAUUUUUAGUGUGAUGGUUGGAAAGUUUUUUCGGUGUAGGAUGAGCUCGCGGCCUAUCAGCUUGUUGGUGGGGUAAUGGCCUACCAAGGCGGCGACGGGUAGCCGGCCUGAGAGUGUGGACGGCCACAUUGGGACUGAGAUACGGCCCAG
rnacentral:rRNA from 1 species